GUCUGCGUUGUGGGCAGCCCGUCAGAUUAGUAAAAAAAAAAAUCGAUCCUCGGAAAUACUCGAGCGCGUCAGAUUAAGAAACGGUAGGUUAAGUACAUCUAGAAAAGUGUAUAUUUCAAUAAUCUGACAAUUUGAGCGUGGCAUAAGAAAAUGGGAGAGGCACAAAGUUGUAAAAAAAAAACGUCACCUCGAAAUACUCGAGCGCGAUUAACUUUUUUUUUAUUCUGAAGGGAAUUUUAUCAGGAACACGAAAAACAUAUAAUCUGACGGUUUUCAUGGGGCAAUAUAGCCAAAAUUUUCGAUAAAGCAUGAACGUACAGUAAAAAAAAAAUACAAUUUUUUGGUUCGUGUUGCUGAGUUUUUAACGUUUUUGUCGAAAUAUCUUAAUUUUUUUUGUCUUAUUUACUUACACUUAUUAUGUGGAUACGGAUUGACUUAAAAAUAUCUAAAGAAUUCAUUAAAUUGGAUAAAAAAUAACGUGUCAAAGCCCCAAAAGACGUUUUAUAUGGAAUUUACUAUCGGAGAAUAUCCAGUCCGGUCCAACACUCAAAUUUUUGUAUCGAGGUAUAACGUGACAUUCUUAACUUUAUAGCAAAAGCCCCAUCUUUAAUAAAUAUAGAAGCUCUGAUCGUCUGGUCAUUACGUAAUGUUCUUAGAUUUGGGGUAUUUUUUCUUUCGUUAAAGACCAGACGAGCAAAACUUAUGACUUUAGAAACACGAGAUGACGACAAAGUUGAACAAGUGGAAACCAACCUGGAAGACGAAUCCAGUUAUUAUGAAUAUUAAAUUAUUAUUGAUUGACCUUUGUAUAUAAUAUGUAUAUAAUGUAAAUUUUGUAUUACAUCCAGUAGGUAAUAACCAGAAGAAACGAAAAA